UUUGUCAGUAGCUUCUGUCCAUGAAUCCUCUAACUCUUGAUGCAUAUAGGAUAUUGAAGGCUCUCCAAAGUCCUUCAAUUCUUUUUCUUAUUAAAUAUUAUACUGCCUUCCAUCCUACUAGAUAUUAUGGAGCGAGACAUUUCAGUGUCCUUCAUAGUUUGCCCAUUCUUGUGGUGAAGUCUUCUUUUCUUUUUUAUGUUGUUUUUCUGCUGGAAGUAACUAAAUGUGCUGAUAUUCCAGCAUUCACCAUAAGUUGUCUAUGAUUAAUAGUCAGCUAUGAGGUAAAGAAUUGGUUCAACAAGCCCAAGCUAAAUCCUUCAUGAAAAAAUCUGGAGAUAUGGAACUUAGAACUGAACCCAAGUUCUCAAAAAUAAAAUGCAACACAGUUUCUUGUAAUUGAUUUAUUUUUCAUUGUGAAUUGCUGGAAAGAGGUUUGGAUGGAAAUUCAAAUCCCUUCCAGCAAUUCACAAUAUCACCUGAUACUUAAAUCUAUCUACUUCAAUGGAUGGAAUUAAAUAGUGUUUGAAGGCAAGGCAAUUUAUAUAUAUUUGAGUUUCAAAUUACUCUUAGUUUAC
rnacentral:lncRNA from 1 species